rnacentral:rRNA from 1 species
UCUUUUGAACGACGAGCCCGCGUCCAGGGUGCAGGAAGGCCGUCUUGCUUCUAUGUUGUUUUCGUCGACGCCGUAAGGCGGUGGAGCGUCAAGGGGUGUGCUGGAAGGGUAGUUGGUUGGCCGAGAAGGUCGGAGGCGUCCGGUGGCGAGGCGAGGCGGGUGGAAGGCGACGUCGACGUGGCAUCGGCCAGGCAGCAAGCGCUGGGCAGCGGCAGUUCGCUGGUGCGGUUAGUGUUGGGCACUAGCGGUGGGUGGGAGGCCGGAGGCGCCCGCCCUGGGCGGCUGGUUACCCGUGGGGGACGGGGUUGGAGUGGCGAGAGCGCUAAGCGGCGUCGCCGCCGGCGGACAAGCUCGCCAUCCCUAAAGGGAGCAGCAGCACCCGCGCCCUCUGGACCACCGCGACCGCGCUCCGCUCCGCUCCGGCUCUCCCCCGUUGCUACUAGAAACCCAGGCCCGACUUAGAGGAGUCGCGCCGCGAGCCGAAGCCGUACUGACGGCAGAAGCAGCGCAAGCAGACGCGCGCCAAGCAGACGACGGCGCGGGCCCCGCGCCUGCUGUCGCGGGGUAGCGGACACCUGAAACUGCAACUGAAGGGCCGUCUAGAGCUUGCGGGCCAUCUCCUACGAUUAACACCCAACCUUGGAAACCAAUAACGACGUUAAGGAUAAUACUUCAUGAGACUCCGAAAUAUAAGUUUCCUACUACGGGUCACGAGGUAUACAGAUCCACUUAUGUGGCUCUUUCUCGAAGAUUCUUAGUAAGGCUGUACAGCUGUAUUGAAAGUGGCAUGGACGAAUCUGAAUACCAACGUCUUCGUCUGAUGAACGGGUUAUACGGCCCAGAGCAACUUUCUCAACGGAUCACCGUUUCGACGGUAUCGUGGAAGUACAUCGUUGGGAGUUCACGCGGGGGCGUGACUCUUGAGACAAUUAGGUCGUGGACUGACCGAGGAGGGACAAGUAGUAAGAGUGUCUCCAGUUGUCUUGUCAAGUCUGUGUGUUCCUAGUCAUCUUCACCAAUAACUCUAUGCGGUUAUUCGUGUCGUACUCUAACAAUACCUUCUCUUGUUUCGCCCUUAUACAUUAUCCAAAGGACGGAGCGACGUAACAACGUCGUAGGAUUAACCUAGCCGUAACAUGCGUUAGAGCAGCGUCAAGCAGACCAUCGAAACGCUAUUGGACGUCUCCACGUCAAGGGGAAAGUAAUUCGGACACCAUCGUUCAUCCGUUUGAAUCCACCGUCUAGGGUAUAAAGUGAAACUCAAACGAUUUGAAACUUAGAAGGUGACCUACAUCAAAAAUGUAAAUG